rnacentral:rRNA from 1 species
ACGGGAGGCAGCAGUGAGGAAUAUUGGACAAUGGAUGGAAGUCUGAUCCAGCCAUGCCGCGUGAAGGAUAGAUGCCCUACGGGUUUUGAACUUCUUUUGUACGGGGGCAAUAAGGGCCACGCGUGGCCCGAUGAGAGUACCGUACGAAUAAGCAUCGGCUAACUCCGUGCCAGCAGCCGCGGUAAUACGGAGGAUGCGAGCGUUAUCCGGAUUUAUUGGGUUUAAAGGGUGCGUAGGCGGGAUGUUAAGUCAGCGGUGAAAGUUUGCGGCUCAACCGUAAAAUUGCCGUUGAAACUGGCGUUCUUGAGUGUAAACGAGGUAGGCGGAAUGUGACGUGUAGCGGUGAAAUGCUUAGAUAUGUCACAGAACCCCGAUUGCGAAGGCAGCUUACCAGCAUACAACUGACGCUGAGGCACGAAAGCGUGGGUAUCAAACAGGAUUAGAUACCCUGGUA